rnacentral:rRNA from 1 species
CCUACGGGUGGCAGCAGUGAGGAAUAUUGGUCAAUGGGCGGGAGCCUGAACCAGCCAAGUCGCGUGAGGGAAGACGGUCCUAUGGAUUGUAAACCUCUUUAGGCGGGGAGCAAUGCCGGGCACGCGUGCCCGGAGGGAGAGUACCCGCAGAAUAAGCAUCGGCUAACUCCGUGCCAGCAGCCGCGGUAAUACGGAGGAUGCGAGCGUUAUCCGGAUUUAGUGGGUUUAAAGGGUGCGUAGGCGGAUUUUUAAGUCAGCGGUAAAAUGUCCGGGCUCAACCCGGGCCGGCCGUUGAAACUGGGGAUCUUGAGUGGGCGAGAAGUAGGCGGAAUGCGUGGUGUAGCGGUGAAAUGCAUAGAUAUCACGCAGAACCCCGAUUGCGAAGGCAGCAUGCCGGCUUCCGACUGACGCUGAAGCACGAAAGCGUGGGGAUCGAACAGGAUUAGAUACCCCAGUAGUC